ensembl:misc_RNA Y_RNA Y RNA
GGCUGAUCCAAAGGUAGCAAGUUAUCUCAAUUGACUGUUCAUAGUUACAGAUGGACCUCCUUGUUCUAUUCUUUCCCUCUUUCCUGCUACUGCACUUGACUAGUCUUUA